UACGAAGGGGGCUAGCGUUGUUCGGAAUCACUGGGCGUAAAGCGCGCGUAGGCGGAUUGUUAAGUCAGGGGUGAAAUCCCGAGGCUCAACCUCGGAACUGCCUUUGAUACUGGCGAUCUUGAGUCCGGGAGAGGUGAGUGGAACUCCUAGUGUAGAGGUGAAAUUCGUAGAUAUUAGGAAGAACACCAGUGGCGAAGGCGGCUCACUGGCCCGGUACUGACGCUGAUGUGCGACAGCGUGGGGAGCAAACAGG
rnacentral:rRNA from 1 species